rnacentral:tRNA from 1 species
AGAAAUGAGCAAAUUCCUGCACCUCGGUUUCGGCCCGAUUUUUUGAGGCUACCCCCUCACAUUUCUU